GCUGGGUGUGGUGGUGCAUGCCUGUAAUCCCAGUGACUCUGGAGGCUGAGGCAGGAGGAUUACAAACUGGAGGCCAGCCUCAGCAAUUUAGCAAGGCCCUAAGCAAUUUAGUGAGACUCUGUCUCCA
rnacentral:sRNA from 1 species